CAGCAGCCGCGGUAAUACGUAGGUCCCGAGCGUUGUCCGGAUUUAUUGGGCGUAAAGCGAGCGCAGGCGGUUAGAUAAGUCUGAAGUUAAAGGCUGUGGCUUAACCAUAGUACGCUUUGGAAACUGUUUAACUUGAGUGCAAGAGGGGAGAGUGGAAUUCCAUGUGUAGCGGUGAAAUGCGUAGAUAUAUGGAGGAACACCGGUGGCGAAAGCGGCUCUCUGGUCUGUAACUGACGCUGAGGCUCGAAAGCGUGGGGAGCAAACAGGAUUAGAUACCCCAGUAGUCCCUGUCUCUUAUACA
rnacentral:rRNA from 1 species